rnacentral:lncRNA from 10 species
GGGUGUUAGGAGUGGGGGAAGGGAUGAGUUUGGUGGCAUAUGUAGGCUCAGCAGAGGGAGAGCCAGGGCUCCAGGGAGGUCAGCUGGGAGGCUGUCCGAAUGCUAUAUUUUUGGAGCCAUAUGGAAUAAACACCCAGACACCUGGGCCUCAGUCCCCCAACCCCAACCAGCCCCGGUAGAGCAGCUCCAAAAUAGGAAAUUCGCAGAGGUAGCCCCAGAGAGGCUGCUCAGAUUAGGCUGCAGUGAGCACCUAGGCAUGGCUGGCCACUCCCUGCUUUUAGGCAUCCUGAAUUUGCACGUCUAGGAAUCUCCAUCUCCAUGUUUCAAGCUCUCUAGUGGGUGACUCACAGGCUCUGCAGGGGUUUGGGGGCUGCAGCUGAGUUCCUUUGAAUAUCUGUUGAAUGAAUAAAAGAAAUGGAAGGAAAGGGGGAAAGGUGCUAAGGCAGACACAGGAGAAGAGGACAAAGGCUUGCGACACUAGUGCUACCUCUAAACUCCACUCUCCUUUGUCCUCAUAGCACCCAUUCACCCAGUCACUCACCCUCCACUCCUACCCUUUCCUUCAAGCAAACAGAAACCCUGAUUGGUUCAACAAUUACUGAUCAACCACUACUGUGCACCAGGCAGUGCUGGGUACCGGAGGCAUUUGCCUUGGCCUGUUCUUCUUCCACCUGCGGCACCUCGAGGACCACCCGAGGCCCUGAGAUUGGGAGAGGAAGCCUGUUCCAUAACUGGUCAGCCCCACACCUGCAAGUAAUUGACAGUGUGACCCUGGGCAAGUCACUUGCCACGUUUGAGCUUGGGUGUUCCCAAUUGCCCUUUGGGAGGAUUAUUCAUUCCCGCCUCACCUGUCCCCAGUCCAGCUGGGAAAGGCAUCACCCGGCUUCCUACAGGUGACACCAGUCUGAAUAAUACUUGUGGUGCACCCAUAGCCAUGGUGCAGCCUCUUCCUCCCACAGACCACGGCCUUGACCCCCUUCAGCCUCCUGGCCCCCAGUAUGGGACAGAGCCCUGGAAUCUGCAUUUUAAAGAAACUCAAGGUAAUUCUGUUAUGGGAGGGUAUGUGGACACACAUGGAGAAAUUCUGGCUCACAGGAUAAAGUCUAAGCUUCCUCACCACCCCCAACUCAUUGAUGAAAACUUCGCCCUGCUUUCCAGCAUUGGCCCCCUCUGUCUCCCAAGGGAGGGCCUGCAGCCGUGGCCAGACUGCUCUGUCCACUCCCCACCCUGAGCUCAGCAAUGAGCCUGCUCUUCUUCUUCUUUUGUUUUGUUUUGUUUUUCGAGACAGGGUCUUGCUGUGUCCCUCAGGCUGCAGUGCAGUGGUAUAAUCACAGCUCACUGCAGCCUCCGUCUCCUGGGCUCAAGCCAUCCACCCGCUUCAGUCUCAAUAUUUAGGACUACAGGAGUAUGACCACCACAUCUGGCUAAAUUUUUUAUUUUUCUAGUUUUUGAGAUGAGGUCUCACUACCUUGCCCAUUCUAGUCUCAAACUCUCCGGCUCAGGUGAUCCUCCUGCCUCAGCCUCCCAAGUAGCUGGGAUUACAGGCCUAAGCCCCCAGGCCUGGUCAGCCCUGCUCUUCUCUUAUGACUUCCCCAACUUGGAAAGACUUCCUGACCUCCCUAUCUCUGCAAGUCUCUUUCCCACCCUGCAACAUCCAACUCAAAUGCCUUCACCUUCCUCUAUCAAGCUCAGAAUCUCCACUUGACAUCAGUUAGGGCCAAACACACAGACCAUCAUCAUUUCCUGCCUGGAUUGCUGGCUGGCUUUUGACUGGCUCAUAUCCUAGCUUUCUAAGCUGACUGUGAGCUCCCUGAGGCCAACCAUCCAUCUUGCAGAUCCUUGGGUUCAAUAACAAAUGCUUACUGAGCACCUGCAGAAACCUAUACAGCAGCACCCUGCUGGGUGUACAGAAGAGGAAGGCCGAAUCCCUGCCUAGAGGGGAGCCCCUCUCAUGGAGAGACAGAUGGAACUUGCAUAUAUGACCAGGGUAGAAAUAAAGACAGGGUACCACAGAAUCCCAGAGUAAAGGUCCUAAUGCCAUGGGGAAGGGGCACUCAGGGGGCAGGGAAGGAAAACUCAGAAAGAGGGAGCAGCACACGCAAAGGAUUAAAGUGUGACAUGUUCUGCACAAGAGCAGGGGUGGGGGAGGAAGAAGGAUGGAGA